AUUGAACGCUGGCGGCAUGCCUUACACAUGCAAGUCGAACGGCAGCGGGCCUUCGGGUGCCGGCGAGUGGCGAACGGGUGAGUAAUGCAUCGGAACGUGCCAUUGAGUGGGGGAUAACGUAGCGAAAGUUGCGCUAAUACCGCAUAUUCUGUGAGCAGGAAAGCAGGGGACCGCAAGGCCUUGCGCUCUUUGAGCGGCCGAUGUCAGAUUAGCUAGUUGGUGAGGUAAAGGCUUACCAAGGCGACGAUCUGUAGCGGGUCUGAGAGGAUGAUCCGCCACACUGGAACUGAGACACGGUCCAGACUCCUACGGGAGGCAGCAGUGGGGAAUUUUGGACAAUGGGGGCAACCCUGAUCCAGCCAUGCCGCGUGAGUGAAGAAGGCCUC
rnacentral:rRNA from 1 species